rnacentral:rRNA from 1 species
AUUGAACGCUGGCGGCAGGCCUAACACAUGCACGUCGAACGAGUGGCGGACGGGUGAGUAAUGUCUGGGAAUCUACCCGAUGGAGGGGGAUAACUACUGGAAACUGUAGCUAAUACCGCGUACCAUAGGAUGAGCCCAGAUGGGAUUAGCUAGUAGGUGGGGUAACGGCUCACCGAGGCGACGAUCUCUAGCUGGUCUGAGAGGAUGAUCAGCCACACGGGGACUGAGACACGGCCCAGACUCCUACGGGAGGCAGCAGUGGGGAAUAUUGCACAAUGGGCGCAAGCCUGAUGCAGCCAUGCCGCGUGUAUGAAGAAGGCCUUAGGGUUGUAAAGUACUUUCAGCGGGGAGGCGUUACCCGCAGAAGAAGCACCGGCUAACUCCGUGCCAGCAGCCGCGGUAAUAC